rnacentral:rRNA from 1 species
UGGGGAAUAUUGCACAAUGGGCGAAAGCCUGAUCCAGCCAUCCCGCGUGAAGGAUGACGGUCCUACGGAUUGUAAACUUCUUUUGUAUAGGGAUAAACCUAGUCUCGUGAGACUAGCUGAAGGUACUAUACGAAUAAGCACCGGCUAACUCCGUGCCAGCAGCCGCGGUAAUACGGAGGGUGCAAGCGUUAUCCGGAUUUAUUGGGUUUAAAGGGUCCGCAGGCGGGCCGAUAAGUCAGUGGUGAAAUCUCAUAGCUUAACUAUGAAACUGCCGUUGAUACUGUCGGUCUUGAGUAAAUUAGAGGUAGCUGGAAUAAGUAGUGUAGCGGUGAAAUGCAUAGAUAUUACUUAGAACACCAAUUGCGAAGGCAGGUUACCAUGAUUUAACUGACGCUGAGGGACGAAAGCGUGGGGAGCGAACA